AGACGAAGACGAAGACGAAGACGAAGACGAAGACGAAGACGAAGACGAAGACGAAGACGAAGACGAAGACGAAGACGAAGACGAAGACGAAGACGAAGACGAAGACGAAGACGAAGACGAAGAAAUUGUGCUGAAAUAAGCCGAAUGCAAUCUGAAUUCAUUUCUCAGCAUGGUUAGCAGAUUAAGUCAUCUCUCUCCAGUCUCCAUGGCUACUGAAUGAAGACCUGGACUCCUGAAUAGAAUGCAGUACAAACUACUGACCUACUCCCAAGAACCAGCACCGCCUGCUACUUUUGGUUCACCAGCUGACAGCUGUUGGCAAAACUUUCACUGGUAUUAGAUUGAUAGAUAUAACUGGUAUUUGAUCGGCAGCCUGAAGCCCAUCAACUGUGAUGUGUUAUGAACAGGUGAUCUGUGAAUUGUGAUCACACAGUGUGUGCAUUAACAAUUAAUCCUGUAUUUUAUAAUACAAAUGUUGAAAAUUU